UUUAAUAUGGCAGAUUAGUGUAUUGAAUUUAAGAUUCAAAUAAAAAAUUUAAAUUUUUAUUAAAA
rnacentral:tRNA from 1 species